rnacentral:rRNA from 1 species
UGAGCAAUCUGCCCUUCACAUCGGAAUAACCAUUGGAAACGAUGGCUAAUACCGAAUAUGACUUCGGAUCGCAUGAUCUGAAGUGGAAAGCUCCGGCGGUGAAGGAUGAGCUCGCGGCCUAUCAGCUUGUUGGUGAGGUAAUAGCUCACCAAGGCGACGACGGGUAGCCGGCCUGAGAGGGCGACCGGCCACACUGGGACUGAGACACGGCCCAGACUCCG